rnacentral:rRNA from 1 species
AAAUGCGAUAAGUAAUGUGAAUUGCAGAAUUCAGUGAAUCAUCGAAUCUUUGAACGCACCUUGCGCCCCUUGGUAUUCCGAGGGGCAUGCCUGUUUGAGUGUCAUGUAAUUCUCAAUCCUCUUUUUCUUAAAUGAAAAAAAAAGGGCUUGGCCUUGGAGGGUUUUA